UGUGCAUAUUGUUAUGCAUUUACUUUUCUACAAUGGCUAGAGGUAUAGGGAGAGGGUUGAGAUCUCAUAAACAUGUUAACCCCGCCGAAAUUUUGCGUCUGUCCCAAGUCAGGAGCCUCUGGCCUUUGUUAGUAUUGUAUGAUUUUUAAUUUUAGUUUCUUGUGUAUAAUUCGGAGUUUAGUAUGACGUCCAUUAUCACUG
rnacentral:lncRNA from 1 species